rnacentral:lncRNA from 1 species
AUGUUUUCUCAUAGUGAUAGUGCUUAUAUAAUUACUACUAAAAGGUGAUCCAUGACUUAUUUUCUAGUACAGUGAAUUUGAAGAUAUAUUGAAUAAACUAAAGAUGAUUCAGGAUCUAGAAAAGUGCUGAGGUGUAGUGCAAAGAGAACUAUACGGUGAAUUUGAAGAUAUAUUGAAUAAAGUACUAUGAGGUUUAGAGAGUGGGGGAAAAUAGGAGCAGAGUGUGAUAUCAAACACCGGAUUUUCACUAGUCAUGUCCCUUCAUUGUGAAAGUUUAUGUGGGAAGUGCAUGACUCUAGUCGUAUACCAUGUUUUUGGGUUGUAAGGCCUCAAAAAUGUUGUUCGCUACACGUUGAGGAUCAUCAAUUAUAUCUAAUGAGUUUCAGUAUCAAUUAAUCACUCUCAAAAACUCGAAACAACACAAUUAUAGUGAAAAUUAUGUUCUAGAUGAAUACAAUUUUACAUUUUGUCAAAAAGGUUGUGAUGGCUUAGUUGUAGUGUAAUAAGCUAACGGUUUCCGGUGAAUGGAACAUAACAUGAUAGAUUGGCGUUUCUGAAGCUUAUAUACGUACAGUGGAUCACCUAUUUUUGAAGAAGAUAUGUCCGGCCAUCAACAAUCGUGAUAAUUUAUGCAUAAAUCAUCUUUUAAAAGUAGCUUGGGUCCUUUUCGAAGAGAGAAAUGUUUAAAGGGGAUUUCUCCUAAAAAAUGUUGGAACUUGUUUUUUACGAAAUAUUUUAAGACCAUUUUCGGUAAGAUUGUGGGAGAAGACAUUCGUCGAAAAUAACCGGAUGUUGGACAUUAUGAUGUAGUGUAACCACCAGUAAGUUUAAUGAGAAAUGAACAUCCAAUCGCUUAUAAAGCCUAUAAUGUAACAUUUUUGAAAUGUCCUACUUCGGAAAAUAAAGUCAAAAUGAGAUUCAGACGGAGUUCGAGUUUUGGGUUUCGAGAUUUAACGAAUGGGCUUGCGUUCAUACAAAGAUUAUUUUUUUAAAUAAAAUUUAUUUGAAAAUUAUUGUGAAAAAUUAACAAAUAUAACAUCUCUUUUAUAUUUUCAUUAAUAACAAAAAUUAAUGUGAAUUGAUUUUUGUAACAUAAAUAAAUUAUGACAAUUACUUGAGAAAUAAUUCUCAUGGCCAUUAAUUUGGUUUUCUCCGCUUUAUGAUCCUUUGGGUAUGAGCAGGGAAGGGGGUAUGAGGCUAUAAAGUCUUGGUCUCUUUCUCAUCAGACACACAUUCAUACGAAUCACAAAACAAAAAGAUCCUCCACUUGAAUAUUUUUUAUUUAGUGUUUUAUGUACGAGAGUACAACACAAAAUAGAAUCAACAUAUUACGUUGUUCAAUGAUUCAGACAGAAACAUAUGCAGUUGUAUCAUAAGAAUCUGAGGGUUAUAGAACCAUCACACUAUAAGACACUUAAAUAUUUAAGGAAGUAGAUUUAUCAUCUCGACUCUACAAUUUUUUAUUUAUUUGUUUAUUUUAGUAUUGUAAUUCUGAUUUCUGUGAGGCGCUUAAAUAUUUGAGGUUUCUACACAAAAAUGUUAAAAAUAAUAAUUAAAAACAGUGUCCGGGAAGCAAACAAGUUGAUCUCACUCAUGAUAAAAUCGGCAUGACUAUAGAAUCGUACUAGAAUUUAGGGAGAACAUUUUCAAUCACUUGGCCAUAAGAAAACAAACCUAGCAAGGAAGGUGGCUCAUCACUUGAAAAUUUUGUUAUAUAUGCUGCCAAGUGAAAAAGUUCAAAAACUUUUGAGUUGGAUACUUUGUCAAUAAGGUAGAAAAGUGUUGUUGCUUUUUAUCUCAUUUCGUUACACAUACAUAAAGGCUAUUUGUUGACAAAAAAAAAACAUAAACGCUAUUUUUGCUAUAUGUAGAAAGGUGUUGUUAUUAUAAUGAAGUGAUGAUUCUAGUAGAAGAGACUGUUAUCUAGUUAAUGAUAAGUACGAUCUCAUGUCGAUCCAGUACUUACACCGUCAUUACCAUAUGUAUAUAAAGACCAGUUGGUCGACCUAAUAAUACACACAAGUUUCCCUCUUCAUUCAUUACACGUUAUCAGCACGACUUUGUCUCUAAACCCUUCCAAAAAUCUACCACCCAUAAAUCAGAAACCAAACGAUCUUUUGCUAUUUUUCAGCGACUCCUAAAGCUCUUCCAGUCGCCUCAUUUUCUCUCUGUCAGCAACCAGCAGCACCUCUCUGUCCUCACAGACCGUUCAACUCAUCACAAAAGGUUCAGGUAUCUUCAGAAAACUCAAAACAAAACAAAAAAGGAUUUAAACCCUCAGCCGCAUACAUACAGCUACAUCUAGCCGUAUGUCUUUGCAGAAUAAAAUCUAAAACCCUAAUCUAUUUUCAAAGCUUAAAUCUCGUCUUGUUUCACCCUGUUUAAGCUUGUUUGAUUUUUUUUAAUCUUCCUGAUGUGAGUUAAUUGCUAGAACCUUUUAGGUUGACAAUUACACCAAUUUUUUUAACAUAUCCGACUGCUGCAUCAACUUAAUCUGAUUGUUUGCUUGCAUUAGAAACUUGUUCUUGAAUGUUUAAAGUCUUUCUCUGAUAUGUUGAAAUCGACUAGAACCUGUCUCAAAUUUGAAAGAUUAACUGUCGUUUUAGAUUUGAACACACAGAUUAAUAAAAUAUAUAUUUUGUAUAUUUUCUAAAUAAAACAUCAUUACCAAUACACCUAACCAUAUUUUAACCAAGAAAAAUAGAUUGGAAUAUAUAGUCAAUAAGUUUUGCACUGAAAUUAUACUACGGCACUUAUUUUAAAACGAAAAUUUUACUCUACAACGACAAAUAAACUGAAACGGAAAGAAUAUAAUUAAUUAUUAAUAACCAUAUUUAAAUCUUACCAUAGUUAGCCUAUAUUUAAGGGUGGUUAGUUAAAAAUAAUAACAGUUAGGCGAAAAUUUUAUAAUGUAUAGUUUUUUUUAAAUAAUCCACAUAGAAAUAAGUUGGAAAAAAGUUGGGUCCAACUUUAUGCUUCUAUUUUAAUACUACAGUAUAACCUUUUUAAAUUAAUAAUCUAUAAAUUAAUAUACACUAAAAAUCUCUAUAAAAUAAUAUAAUUUUAUAGUCUUAAAUUAAGUUUGUGGUUUAAUUAGUAUAUCGAUAAAUUAAUAUCUCUAUAAAUUAAUAAAAAAAUAUAGUUUUGAUAUAGUCCCAACAUUAUUAAUUUAUAGAGGUUUCACUGUAUAUAUAUAGCGAACUAAUAAGGACAUUUAAAUCAAAUGGCUAAAGCUUUUCCGAAAUAAGUAUUAUCAAAAAAAAAAAAAAAAAAAAAGAGUAUCGUACUCGGAGUACAGCAAAAGAAAUCUUUUUCUUUCUUUCUGAUUGCUUCAAAAAGAAGGGUACGUUGUUUAGCUAAAGACGCGUUUUUAUUGCGUUUUACAAUGCAACUGUAUCUAGUCAAUUACAUUAUUUUGUCAACUAGUCAACUGCAUUUAAGAUACAUAAAUGAUGAUUAUAGUAUCUUUUCCACACUUUAAUUGAUCGAUCUAUUCGUUGUUCAAAAAAAAAAAAAUGGAUCGAUCUAUUCAUAAUAAAAAUAAGUAAUGCGAAGUAUCGACACAAUUCCCAUUGUUGACCAAAAUCCCUCAUUCUCAGAGUACUUUUGAAGAAACCCUAAAGUAAAAGGAAUUGUCAAACCAGCCCGCCUUGCCCCCCCCUCCCCCCGUUGCCCGCACGGUUGCAAGGAAUUGUCAAACCAGCUCACUUUCUUUUUUUCACCCAAAAAUAAAGAUUACAAGUGAUCUAUCCGUUUCACAAAGAUAUAUUUUUUUAAUAUUUUCACAUAUAUUAAAAAAACACAUUAAACUACAAUAAUAAUAAAUGUAUCGUUUUCUGUAAUUUUUCAAUUUUCAAUAACUUUUAACCAAUAGUAAUUCAAUAAAAUCAAUUAAUUUUUUCGAAAUUUAUAAUUUUUUUAUACAAAACACAAAAAUACAUCUUUGUAAAACAAAUUUUUUUCUAAAAGUCUAUCUUAAUGGAACGGAGGGAAUAUGUUUUUUUUUUUUUAACUUUAAGUAUGUUUGUUUAAAGCUAAGAUUAUAAGUAAGUUUUUUUAAGGCUUGGAUUAUAAGUAUGUUAAUUAUCAAAAGGAUUUUACUCAAGAAGUUCAUUUACUUUCUACAACCAAAUAACUAAAUCGUGUUAUGGUAAUUUUCCAAGCUUUUUAUCCUGCUUGUACGUCUAAAAUUAUUAUUAGAAAAAAUACAGUACAACCAAAAAAGAUGACGAUUGACGUAUGAUCGCUAUAGCGCUAUAAUAGCGGAUGUGAUAUUGAAGGUGCAAAAUAUUUUUCAUGUCUCUUUCAAAAAAAAAAAUUCAUGUCUCUUCUUCUAUAAUUAUCAUUUUCUUUCAUUCACAACAAAACAAAAAAAAAAAUAUUUUCUCUGAGUUUUUUCGUUCAUGGAUUGGAUAAACCUCAUAGAGAUUGGGACACAUAUUUAUGUACACAAAAUAUUCAUAUGUUAUUAGCACAUUCAUGCAUAGGCUCAACGACAACCAAAAACUAGAAAAAUCUAUAAAUUGAAAUGUUCAUGCUCUACUUAUUGGAAUAAUAAGAAUAUAAAUAUUUUUUUUUAAGAAUAUAAAUAUUGGAAAGCUGGGAAUCAUAUAUAUCAAUGGAUUUAUGCUGUAAUACAAGAUUUGAAAUAUUAAUGGUGAAAGACCGGAUUAUGUGGUACUAGUGAACCUCAUAGUGUGUAUAGGUUAGAUAUACAUAACACAUAUGUAAAUUAUGGCAUAAGUGUUGUUUAGAUGGUAAAUAAUGUAUAUAGAGAAAAAUUAUUGUCGAUUGUUAACUAAUUAUAUGUCUUUUGCAUUUUAGCAAAAAUUCACUUAGAAUUCUCAUUUGAUGACUUAGGUGGAAAUCACAUUACAUCAUUACACAUCGGGACCCCGUAGAGAAUUAGUCCUGGUGAACUCCCAAUAUUUUUUUUUUCCGAAAAACGGUUUCAUUUGAAAUACAUCGAAAAAGUUGUUUGUCUGGAAUUCAGUGAUCUGUUCCAACCAAUUUUCGACGAGGUAGAUCUGAUGAAAUGUUUUUGUCAAAAACUCUUCGGUAGUCGAUAUUGUUAACAGAUUUAUCCGUUGGGAAUCUCAUGUUUUCUCAUAGUGAUAGUGCUUAUAUAAUUACUACUAAAAGGUGAUCCAUGACUUAUUUUCUAGUACAGUGAAUUUGAAGAUAUAUUGAAUAAACUAAAGAUGAUUCAGGAUCUAGAAAAGUGCUGAGGUGUAGUGCAAAGAGAACUAUACGGUGAAUUUGAAGAUAUAUUGAAUAAAGUACUAUGAGGUUUAGAGAGUGGGGGAAAAUAGGAGCAGAGUGUGAUAUCAAACACCGGAUUUUCACUAGUCAUGUCCCUUCAUUGUGAAAGUUUAUGUGGGAAGUGCAUGACUCUAGUCGUAUACCAUGUUUUUGGGUUGUAAGGCCUCAAAAAUGUUGUUCGCUACACGUUGAGGAUCAUCAAUUAUAUCUAAUGAGUUUCAGUAUCAAUUAAUCACUCUCAAAAAC